rnacentral:rRNA from 1 species
UUUUUCCUACGGGGGGCAGCAGUGGGGAAUAUUGCACAAUGGGGGAAACCCUGAUGCAGCGACGCCGCGUGAGUGAAGAAGUAUUUCGGUAUGUAAAGCUCUCUCAGCAGGGAAGAAAAUGACGGUACCUGACUAAGAAGCCCCGGCUAACUACGUGCCAGCAGCCGCGGUAAUACGUAGGGGGCAAGCGUUAUCCGGAUUUACUGGGUGUAAAGGGAGCGUAGACGGCGCUGCAAGUCUGAAGUGAAAUGCAGGGGCUUAACCCCUGAACUGCUUUGGAAACUGCCAUGCUAGAGUGCUGGAGG